rfam:Erinaceus europaeus unplaced genomic scaffold scaffold00034, whole genome shotgun sequence
CCAUGGAGGUGGAGGCUGGGGUCAGCAGCCCCAUGGAGGUGGAGGCUGG